CAGCAGCCGCGGGAAUACGAGGGGGGCAAGCGUUGUUCGGAAUUAUUGGGCGUAAAGGGUGCGUAGGCGGCCCCGCAAGUCUCAUGUGAAAUCUUCAGGCUCAACUUGAAGUCUGCAUGGGAAACUGCGGGGCUGGAGUAUGGGAGAGGUGAGUGGAAUUCCUGGUGUAGCGGUGAAAUGCGUAGAUAUCAGGAGGAACACCUGUGGCGAAAGCGGCUCACUGGACCAUAACUGACGCUGAUGCACGAAAGCUAGGGGAGCAAACAGGAUUAGAUACCCCCGUAGUCCCUGUCUCUUAUAC
rnacentral:rRNA from 1 species